AUGAGGAUGACGAGGCCGGCGAGGAUGAGGAGGACGCUGAAGGCGAAACCAGCGAUGGCGGCGCACCACAUCGCCGGGGUGGUCCGGCGCCUCGGCUGCAGAAUGAUCUUGGACGGCGGCGGCGGAUCCGGCGUCGCCGGCUCCUGCUGCUGCUGCUUCAUGCUGAUGAUCUUGGUGACGAUGGUCCUUGGAGACUGGAGGUGGUACGGGGUAGGACUAGGAGUACCCAUUGAUCCCGAGCAGCAGCAGCAACAACCAAUCACCAACGAAACCACAGAGAUGAGAGGAGAGGAGAAGAAGCCAAGCAAGUAUGGUGUCCAAACGGGAAAGCAAAAGGGAGGCCAAGGGAACGAAGUAACGGAGGUAAAAGGAGGCUAA
rnacentral:rRNA from 1 species